UGGGGAAUAUUGCACAAUGGGCGAAAGCCUGAUGCAGCAACGCCGCGUGAGUGAUGAAGGUCUUCGGAUUGUAAAGCUCUGUCUUUUGGGACGAUAAUGACGGUACCAAAGGAGGAAGCCACGGCUAACUACGUGCCAGCAGCCGCGGUAAUACGUAGGUGGCGAGCGUUGUCCGGAUUUACUGGGCGUAAAGGGUGCGUAGGCGGAUGUUUAAGUGAGAUGUGAAAUACCCGGGCUUAACUUGGGUGCUGCAUUUCAAACUGGAUAUCUAGAGUGCAGGAGAGGAGAAUGGAAUUCCUAGUGUAGCGGUGAAAUGCGUAGAGAUUAGGAAGAACACCAGUGGCGAAGGCGAUUCUCUGGACUGUAACUGACGCUGAGGCACGAAAGCGUGGGUAGCAAACAGGAUUAGAUACCCUGGUAGUCCACGCCGUAAACGAUGAGUACUAGGGUGUAGGAGGUAUCGACCCCUUCUGUGCCGCAGUAAACACAU
rnacentral:rRNA from 1 species